rnacentral:piRNA from 1 species
UGCUUCUAACUCUCUUAUGGAGAAUGUAAU